GGACAAUUCCCCUCCGAGAUGUUGAUCCGCGCGCCACUCUCCUCGCGGAUCCUCUUAACCGACUCCCCUUUCUUCCCAAUGAUGCUUCCUACUUCCUUUCCGUGCAUAAGAAGCCGAAUGAGGAAGACACUUAAAGAUGAAGUGCUUAAUUCAAGGUCACAGAAUGUCGGGGAUGGACCUCCAGAUUUCCUUACUGACCUGCAUUAUCUUGUGGAUACCUGAGUGAAUUCCACACCACCCAUUUUAUAGAUGAAGCCACUGAGACGUGGAGCAACUGACUGAGUAGUCACUGCCCCACCCCUGCCUGGAGCCUCACACAUGACUUCUCUUAGUGACCACAGGUUGGUUGAGGGGUUUAACAAGGCUAAGAAGGUGAGACGUGGUCUUGUAACACAGUGGUUAAGAAUGUGACUUUGGAGCCAGCCUGCUAGGGGCUGAAUUCUGACUCAGCCAUUUAUUAACUGUGUGACCUUAGGUCAUAGAAUUUUCCACACUCCUUGACGGAGGUUCUUAACCCUUAUCCAUCAGCAUUCUCAGACAGCACCU
rnacentral:antisense_RNA from 1 species